rnacentral:lncRNA from 1 species
GAAACUCUAGUCUGAAAAGCUCUAAUCUUUGGAGUGCAUCAAAGUAUAAUGUCUCCACCCAGGGCCAGAGGUGCUCUAUCCUUUUGAACAAACUUUUAAGGAGUGGAAAAGCUGAAACCUAACUAGGGAAACGGGAAGCGGGACCCAGAGCUUCGGUGGCCUUGAAGAACUCGAUCCUGGGAUGUGCUGAGAUCUCCACUGGUGCCUACAAAGAAACACAAAUUCAUCAUAUCACAGUUGCAGCUGGCUUACAAAACCAGAGAUGCUGUUUCUCCAUCUUCUAAGGACCCCUAUGCUCAAGGCUGAGAACAACUGAGACUCCAAGGUCAUGUGACUUAGGAUUAUACUACUAAUUAUAGGCUGGAGACUGAGUUCAGACAUGCUCAUCAAUGCCUGGACCCUGCUUCCCAAGCUUCUCUGCGUCUGUGGGAAUUAUUGAGACCCUGCCUUAGCUCUUGCCAAGACCUGUGGGUGCAGAGCAGGGGACAGGGUGGAUUAUUCUGCUCUUUGAAAUGUCUAUUGGGUCAAACCUAUCUGGAAACUCAGAAGCCAAGCCAGGGAGUUUUGAACAUGGGGGUUAUAACAGUAUGGUGGGUAGGGAGGCAGCCAAUCGUCCAGCAUCUGGAAUGAAGCCACACCACACUCUUCCCUGUGCCCCCAGCCCUCAGGCUUGGAAGAGCUCCCUGCCCCACUCCCUCCCUUCCUCCCUUCCUUCCUCUGUCCCCUCCACUAAUGAAUGCUAUCACCUCUCCUGCCUCCCUUCUUAUACCAAAAAUCUCAUCUCCUCCUAGACCUAUAUACUAUAGAAACAAAACAAACAAGCAACAAUAAAACCCUAAAUUAACACAUAAUAGGUCACCCAGGCAAGCAUGAAUAAAUGUUGGAAGGUUUUUUGUUUUUUGGGUUUGUUUGUUUUUUUUUUUUUUUACUAUAAAUUCCUUAUGCCAA